CUGGCUCAGGAUGAACGCUAGCGACAGGCUUAACACAUGCAAGUCGAGGGGCAGCACGGGAGUAGCAAUACAACUGGUGGCGACCGGCGCACGGGUGAGUAACGCGUAUGCAACCUACCUAUCAGAGGGGAAUAACCCGGCGAAAGUCGGACUAAUACCGCAUAAAACAGGGGCACCGCAUGGUGAUAUUUGUUAAAGAAAUUCGCUGAUAGAUGGGCAUGCGUUCCAUUAGGUAGUUGGUGAGGUAACGGCUCACCAAGCCGACGAUGGAUAGGGGAACUGAGAGGUUGGUCCCCCACACUGGUACUGAGACACGGACCAGACUCCUACGGGAGGCAGCAGUGAGGAAUAUUGGUCAAUGGGCGAGAGCCUGAACCAGCCAAGUCGCGUGAAGGAAGAAGGAUCUAUGGUUCGUAAACUUCUUUUGCAGGGGAAUAAAGUGCGGGACGUGUCCUGUUUUGUAUGUACCCUGAGAAUAAGGAUCGGCUAACUCCGUGCCAGCAGCGGC
rnacentral:rRNA from 1 species